GCAUUAUUUUAUUUCAAGCUCGGUUUCUUAGUGGCAAAGACAGAGCUGAAUAUUGCACUGCAAUACUAGCCAUUUAAGAAAUAACAGGAAAACAGAUAUUUAGCUGUGUUAUCCAUGGUUUUUUUUUGUUGUUGUUUUUUUUUUCUUUCUUUUUUUUUUUUUUUUUUAACAUGGUCAGACAUAGGUUAGACAAAGCUCCCAAAGGCUACUUGUCUUGUUUUGAGGUAUCUACUGUUAUUACUUUAGUGGAAGUAUGUAGUAACGUUCAGCUAGUCCUUGUUUUCCCUCUCACCUAGGUGUUACAUUACUGUUUAUGUUGCAGACAAUGUAUACACUACUUUUCCUGAUGUAGGCUGGGAUGUCCAAGGGAAUUUGUGAGACCCUGUCAUGUUCAUUCAAAUUAACAGCUGCUUGUGUGUAUCCACCAGAAAUCCGGGAGUAUAAGUAACUCACGAGCUUAUAAACACAUGAUUUCUACCAACACUGUCAAAGCACUCUACCUUUAACCCCUUUCUCUUAAAGCAGGAUGUCUCACUAGCUCAGCUAAAUGUGGGAAAGCUCAUUCCCUGCUCCUUCUCUGUCACUAGCUAAUGUUUAUUCCACUCUGCUUCUUUUUGCAGGAGGAACAUCUUGCAGACAUCAAUAAAAUAUUGAUCAUAAUAACUGUGAGAGUGAGGAAGGUAUAUUGUCCUGAGCCUUAAAGUGACACAACUGAUACACAAGAUGACUGAGCCUUUGCAGGAUGACCAUAAGUGCAUAUGCCGCCUCUAAGCCCGCUGCCUCACAAAUCCCCAUGAUUUUCCAAGAUGUAAGGGGCUAUGACAGCCAUGACUGUUAUCAUCCAGCCAACUGGAGUACCUACUCCCUCUGUUACUGUUGGGUUUCUCUACCCAAGUGGAGUUGCUAUAUCCAGGCUGCUUUUAUAUCCCCUCUCCAUCUGAUUAUCACUUAAAUGCUGUCAACCUGACACAGCU
rnacentral:lncRNA from 1 species